rnacentral:lncRNA from 1 species
AAGAAUUUGAUUAUUUAUAUUUUAUACAGUGUAAAUUAGAUAAUGUAUUAGACAAAAUUUGGAAUUGUCAAAAACAACCAAAACAGGCAUAUAUGUAAAGUAGCAGUAACCAAGGCCUCUAUGGGUAGAAGAAACCAGGAAGGUCCAUUAAUUAGCCCAAACUUAAUAUAUUAAGUAGAAGAGAGAAAAAGAAAAAUAGAUGUAAAUCACCCAAAAAGAGAGAAACACAAUGGCCGUUCAAAAAAAUGUAGAAGGUGGGAAGAUUUUUUGUAAAAGCAAUGGAAGAAUUCUAGAGACCCUGUUCGAGAAGGUAAUCACCCAACCUCUCCACGACCAUGUUGCAUUGUCCUGGUGUCACUGGCUCUUCGUAGAUCCCAAACACACACGACUGUCCUGUUUUCUUUAUCGUUAUGCCUCCCGCUCCC